CUCCUCUCUCUCUCUCCUCUCUUUCUCCUCCGUUCUCUCUUGCUGCCAAGUUCGGAAGUUGGAGAGACAACCGUGUCAGGCCCUGUAACAUCAUCAUCCAUAUCCCCAGGCUAGAGCGAGGAUGGUCUGUCCAUCUCCGUUCUGAGAACCCAGACCCCCUCUUUGAUAUUUGCGCCAACCAGAGCCGAGAAGAUCUUCAGCGGAUCAGGAUGAUUUAAAGCAAAGGCGGCGAAGAUUUAUUAUGCCUUUCAUUUCACUUCAACACCCAGAGUGAGACGCACUCCCUCCUUUCUCUCAAGUCCCUGAGCUAGUUCAUGCUAAUAAUUGUGUUUCUGACGCCAUUGUUAUUUUUCUCCAAACCCACUUCUUCCCCCUUCUGAUGUCAUUUUUGUCUUUGCGCAGAGCCUCAUUCUAGAGCCGCUGAUCAUGCUGCAUUCAUAUCUUCUCUUCGAUUCCCAAAACAAAUCAUAAGUGCUCUGAGUUUCUCACCCACUUUCUUUUUCCACCCUCUAGAGGUUGAAUACGGCUUUGAUUCUCAGUGCAUUUUCCGGCUUUUUCUUUCUUUUGAGCCUGCUUUUCAACGAUUCCCUCCUUCUAGCGUCAUCAAUGAAUAAACCGUCACAAAAAACGAGUUGUAAGUGGGAGGCAGUAAAGGUCUCGGCAUUAUGUUUAUUGCAGGGCUGACUUGCGUGUUUUAGAGUGCAUUCUUCUGCGGAACGCCUUUUGUGGCCUGCAGUUUGGUAAACUGAGUCGGGUUGAGCUUGUCUUCGUUCUGUGACUUGGUAGCCAGAGGUUAGCAGGCAUCACAGGGCGCCGUUAGAGAGAGGCGUUGUUCUGUUCGUAUAUGACUUCGGCUGCAACGGAGAAGUAACAGUUUGUCGUCUAGUCUGACGGUUCUUCCGUGGUUAUAUGUGGUUUUUUGCCUCGAGAGAAAAUGAAGUUUAUGAAGUUGGGUUCCAAGCCGGGUGCCUUUCAAGCUGAUGGAAAGUCUAUCAGGUAUGCGUCAUCUGAAUUGACUGCAGAUAUUGUCAUAAAUGUCGGCGAAGUCAAGUUUUACCUCCAUAAGUUCCCUCUACUGUCCAAGAGCAAUCGAUUACAAAAGCAAAUGUCAAGAGCUAAUGAAGACGAUUCUGACGAAAUUUUCUUGAAUGAAUUUCCUGGAGGGGCCAAGGCAUUUGAAUUAUGUGCAAAAUUCUGUUAUGGAAUGACUGUUACUCUAAAUGCUUACAACGUUGUGGCUGCUCGCUGUGCAGCUGAGUAUCUUGAAAUGACUGAGGAUAUUGAGAGGGGAAACUUAAUAUUUAAAAUUGAGGUAUUUCUGAACUCAAGCAUCUUUCAGAGCUGGAAAGAUUCCAUAAUUGUUCUACAAACUGCUAAAUCUCUUCUCCCAUGGUCUGAGGAUCUGAAGAUCAUUGGCAGAUGUAUAGAUUCUAUAGCUUCUAAAACUUCUGUGGACCCAGCUAACAUCACAUGGUCCUACACAUAUAACCGGAAACUAACUGAGCCUGAUAGAAGUACUGAGCACAAGAUGACUUGUGAAGAGAGAGUAGAGUCUGUUCCUAAGGAUUGGUGGGUUGAAGAUAUUUGUGAGCUGGACAUUGAUAUCUACAAACGAUUAAUGACUACUGUGAAGUCAAAGGGAAGGAUGGAUGGUCUUGUGAUUGGGGAGGCACUGAAAACGUAUGCAAUUAGGUGGUUGCCUGAUUCUAUUGAGGCUUUAGUUUCUGAAGCUCACGCAUGGCGAAACAAAUUUCUGGUGGAAACAAUUGUGUGUCUAUUGCCACCUGACAAUGCUGUGGGUUGUUCUUGUACUUUCCUUCUGAAGCUAUUGAAAGUGGCCAUCCUUGUAGGUGUAGAUGAGUCCGUAAAAGAGGAAUUAGUGAAGAGCACCUGCCUUAAAUUGCAUGAAGCCUCCAUCAAAGAUCUACUGAUCCCUGCAAGGCCUCCUCAGACUACCAUAUAUGAUGUUCAGUUGGUACAAUGUCUUUUGAAUCGAUAUAUGAAUGAAAAGGGCAUCAGCAGCAAUAUGAAAAUUUCAGAGAAGAAAGAUAAAGGAAAUGAUAAAGCUAGUUUUGCGCAUAUGUUCUUUGUGAAUAUGGGCCGCUUGGCGGACAAUUUUCUUGCAGAAAUUGCACAUGAUCCGAAUCUCAGCCUUUCUAGUUUUGUUGACUUGUCACAAGUGAUUCCGGUAUUCGCUAGACCUAAUCACGAUGUUCUGUACAGAGCUAUUGACAUAUACUUGAAGGAGCACCCAAAUAUGACCAAAGCUGAAAGAAAGAAGCUCUGUGGACUGAUGGAUGUGAAGAAACUGUCUGUGAAUGCAUCUAUGCAUGCUGCUCAGAAUGAGCGGCUUCCACUUCGGGUUGUAGUGCAGGUUCUCUUUUUUGAGCAGGUCAGAGCUUCUGCCAGCGUCCAGGCACUUGGUAAUAAGAAUUCAAUGCCUUUGUCGUACGCAGUGAGCACGGAUGAAGAAUGUGAGAAAAUAGUUGGUGAGAACUGCCAACCCCUGGAGAACCAGAUGUGUGAUGUGAAGAUCAAGGAGGAAUUUCCCAGGAAUGGGAAACUGAACAGGAAUAAAAGCAAAAGCAGCAGAAGUGGAAUGCAAUUACUUCCUUCACGUUCGAGGAGACUCUUUGACAAGUUAUGGAUUGGUGGUAAAGGACAGGGAGAGAACAAGAGCUCCGAGACAUCCGGAAGUUCAAAUAGCCCGACAUCUUUUGUCCCAGGAAGUUCAUCUUCUAGACACAGGAGGCAUUCUGUCUCUUGAGGAGGAUUAUCUGCUAUGAAGUGCUGGUGUUUGUGCGUUGUAGUUACCGUUAUAUCUGCAGUGCGUGUAAUUGGGAAAGCAGGCCACAAAUACUGCAGAAAAUUAGUGAUUUUUGAAUCAUGAUCGUUUUUCCCAAUGAACUUCUGGAAGAUAUAGUAACAGGACCACCAGAAGCUGAAGGAUUGAAGGAUUUCAGUUUCUUCGGGGCCACAGAAAUUAGAAAUUGCAAACUUUAAAGAGAGAAUAUCGACAAUCUUCUACUGUUGAGGCCAUCAUUCCUAUUCGAAGCUUUUAUGCAAUCUAUGGGACAAAAUUCAGCACUUAUGUUGACUCCCCCGCAUCCUGAGGAGAAGUUAGAUAUAUUUGAGAAAAUGAGGUCAUUCGUUCAAGCCGUUGGCUUUGACCAGCGGGAUGGAAAACAUUAAUAAAUGGUUAUCUGACUGGGAAAAUUGUUGAAAAUUUUAAAUUGUAAAAUUUAUUACUAAA